rnacentral:rRNA from 1 species
UACAGAGGUCUCAAGCGUUGUUCGGAUUCAUUGGGCGUAAAGGGUGCGUAGGUGGCGCCGUAAGUCAGGUGUGAAAUUUCGGAGCUUAACUCCGAAACUGCAUUUGAUACUGCGGUGCUUGAGGACUGGAGAGGAGACUGGGAAUUUAACGGUGUAGCAGUGAAAUGCGUAGAGAUCGUAAGGAAGACCAGUGGCGAAAGGCGGGU